UGGCUCAGGACGAACGCUGGCGGCGUGCCUAAUACAUGCAAGUCGAACGGCUUUUCUAUGGAAGCUUGCUUCCACUGAGAAGAUAGUGGCGAACGGGUGAGUAACACGUGGGUAACCUGCCCAUAAGAGGGGGGAUAACAUCCGGAAACGGGUGCUAAUACCGCAUAGUUUUCUUGAUCGCAUGAUUGAGAGAGGAAAGACGGCCUUUGUGCUGUCGCUUAUGGAUGGACCCGCGGCGUAUUAGUUAGUUGGUGAGGUAACGGCUCACCAAGACGAUGAUACGUAGCCGACCUGAGAGGGUGAUCGGCCACAUUGGGACUGAGACACGGCCCAAACUCCUACGGGAGGCAGCAGUAGGGAAUCUUCCGCAAUGGACGAAAGUCUGACGGAGCAACGCCGCGUGAGUGAAAGAAGGUUUUCGGAUCGUAAAACUCUGUUGUCAGAGAAGAACAAGUUGGAGAGUAACUGCUCCAGCCUUGACGGUAUCUGACCAGAAAGCCACGGCUAACUACGUGCCAGCCGCCGC
rnacentral:rRNA from 1 species